UACGUAGGGCGCAAGCGUUGUCCGGAAUUAUUGGGCGUAAAGAGCUCGUAGGCGGUUUGUCGCGUCUGGUGUGAAAACUCAAGGCUCAACCUUGAGCUUGCAUCGGGUACGGGCAGACUAGAGUGUGGUAGGGGUGACUGGAAUUCCUGGUGUAGCGGUGGAAUGCGCAGAUAUCAGGAGGAACACCGAUGGCGAAGGCAGGUCACUGGGCCACUGACUGACGCUGAGGAGCGAAAGCAUGGGGAGCGAACAGG
rnacentral:rRNA from 1 species